CUAUUUUUGAUAUCCAAUCGCAAUCGAUAUAAUUUCUUCUAAUCGAUCCAGAACAUUGGGAUGUAACGUAAGAAUUUAAAUUUUAAGCAGGAAGCACAGCAAGAAGAAUCGUCCAGAAAUUAUCAGAUUAAUUAUGAAGAAAAUGUUAGAGCAUAAAAGGGAUAUUAUAGAAUUCAAGAGGACUAGAAUUAGUGAUAAAUUUGUGAAGCGCCCCUACGGUGAAGUAUGGAAUACACUUCCUACGAUUCUCGAAUCGAUAUUUUUCACGAUCGAGUUUUAAGCGGGUAAAAUGGCGGAAGGAAGCACACCUCU